UACGGAGGAUGCAAGCGUUAUCCGGAUUUAUUGGGUUUAAAGGGUGCGUAGGCGGCUUGUCAAGUCAGCGGUGAAACGCAAGGGCUCAACCCUUGACGUGCCGUUGAAACUGGCGGAUUUGAAUGCGGAUGCUGUGGGAGGAAUGUGUGGUGUAGCGGUGAAAUGCAUAGAUAUCACACAGAACACCGAUUGCGAAGGCAUCUCACAAAUCCGUGAUUGACGCUGAGGCACGAAAGUGUGGGGAUCAAAC
rnacentral:rRNA from 1 species